AUUGAACGCUGGCGGCAGGCCUAACACAUGCAAGUCGAGCGGAUGAGGAGAGCUUGCUCUCUGAUUCAGCGGCGGACGGGUGAGUAAUGCCUAGGAAUCUGCCUGGUAGUGGGGGACAACGUUUCGAAAGGAACGCUAAUACCGCAUACGUCCUACGGGAGAAAGUGGGGGAUCUUCGGACCUCACGCUAUCAGAUGAGCCUAGGUACGAUUAGCUAGUUGGUGAGGUAAAGGCUCACCAAGGCGACGAUCGUUAACUGGUCUGAGAGGAUGAUCAGUCACACUGGAACUGAGACACGGUCCAGACUCCUACGGGAGGCAGCAGUGGGGAAUAUUGGACAAUGGGCGAAAGCCUGAUCCAGCCAUGCCGCGUGUGUGAAGAAGGUCUUCGGAUUGUAAAGCACUUUAAGUUGGGAGGAAGGGCAGUAAGUUAAUACCUUGCUGUUUUGACGUUACCGACAGAAUAAGCACCGGCUAACUUCGUGCCAGCAGCCGCCGUAA
rnacentral:rRNA from 1 species